rnacentral:tRNA from 1 species
GGCACGGUGGUACAGUGGGUAGCACUUUUGCCUCACGGCAAGAAGGUUGUGGGUACGAAUCUCGGCUUGGGCCC